rnacentral:rRNA from 1 species
GACGAACGCUGGCGGCGUGCUUAACACAUGCAAGUCGAACGAAGAGCGAUGGAAGCUUGCUUCUAUCAAUCUUAGUGGCGAACGGGUGAGUAACGCGUAAUCAACCUGCCCUUCAGAGGGGGACAACAGUUGGAAACGACUGCUAAUACCGCAUACGAUCUAAUCUCGGCAUCGAGGAUGGAUGAAAGGUGGCCUCUACAUGUAAGCUAUCACUGAAGGAGGGGAUUGCGUCUGAUUAGCUAGUUGGAGGGGUAACGGCCCACCAAGGCGAUGAUCAGUAGCCGGUCUGAGAGGAUGAACGGCCACAUUGGGACUGAGACACGGCCCAGACUCCUACGGGAGGCAGCAGUGGGGAAUCUUCCGCAAUGGACGAAAGUCUGACGGAGCAACGCCGCGUGAGUGAUGACGGCCUUCGGGUUGUAAAGCUCUGUUAAUCGGGACGAAAGGCCUUCUUGCGAAUAGUGAGAAGGAUUGACGGUACCGGAAUAGAAAGCCACGGCUAACUACGUG